GGCCAGCACUGGUAUGAAGACAUUACAGAAGGUAGACAAUUUGGGCGCAAAUAAAUUAAAAAAGUAAAAUAAAAUCAGCUGCCCUACUGCUACUAUCUGUUCAAUGUGCCUUGGUUGGUAGCAAGAAAAAUAAACACUGACAGUAAAAAUCAAUUCAAUUAAAUUUCUCAAAAUUAGGAAACACUUUUUUAAAACAAAGUCAAAUGUAUAUAGUAAAGCAUUGUUUAUUUUAAACUAAAACGCGCUGCAGAGAUCGCUACUAGUGAAAAGUAUGGAAAGAGUUUAAUGCAACCGAAUUAAGCGAUGACGAUUUCGUUUUUAUGGGCAGUGACGUAUGUAAAUACCGAAAAAAGGGUUGAACUAAUUUAUAGCAAGUCUCACUGGAUCGAACUCAAAAACUGCAAAAAAAAAACCGAACUUGCGACAAACAACGAACCAAACGAUAUAAGAGUCCUUUAGAGGUGGAGAGAGCUAAAAAAACACGACUUCUAAGUACAAAUUGAAUGCGAGCACAAAGCGUUAAUAUACAAGGUGGCGCAAAAUUAAUCACCCUAUGGCUAAUUUAAUCCACUGUAAGGAAAGCCAUGACUGGAAAGAUAAUUGGUGCGAAGGCGAAGGGAAGACCGACAAACCGAUGGAUAGACGCAGUAGGAAGCGAUCUCACAACAAUGGCAAUUCGCAACUACGAAGGAGAAGCCAGCGAUAGAACACUUUGGAGGAGUUUUGUGAAGGAAGUUUUGACGCAUCCCGCGUUGUAAUGCUGUGAAUGAAGGAUAAUUUAUAAUUUUUGACAUCUUUGACAUUUGUAAACUACAAAGCUGCAAUGUAUAAACAGACAAGCAAAGGAUGGAGGGCAUAAAGAUGAAUCUCCAAGGACUUGUCUUGAUCACCGCAAGGGACUUCUGGAGAAACGGACUCCACAAAAACAGCGCUAACUUUUGCAAUUACUAAUUUUUUUUUUUUUUUGAAAUUUUGCUAAAGUCCAGCCGAAAUAUGAUGUAUUAAUGCUAUGUUUUUAUUUUUGUAAAAUAAAGUAAUUGACUAGCAAAUAUAAAAAUUUUUGAAAAUCAUCGUUCAACCUCUGACUACCUCUAACCCCAUAAAUUGACUGUUAAGCGCGCUAUUUCGCAAGUUGCACUGUCCGGUUGGAACCAAAUACCGACGAUGUUGAGCUGAUUACUUUUUGGAAACAAAAAUCAAGUCAGUUCACCGUAGC